GGAGCCUUGGCGCAAUGGUAGCGCGUUGGUUUUCGGUCUUGUGCCUGUUCACCAAAGGUUGAGGGUUCGGUUCGUAAGCCCUUCACUUGUCA